rnacentral:rRNA from 1 species
GACGAACGCUGGCGGCGUGCUUAACACAUGCGAGUCGAACGGACAGGCCCUGCUUUUGUGGGGUGCUCGAGUGGCGAACGGGUGAGUAACACGUGAGUAACCUGCCCUUGACUUUGGGAUAACUUCAGGAAACUGGGGCUAAUACCGGAUAGGAGCUCCUGCUGCAUGGUGGGGGUUGGUAAGUUUCGGCGGUUGGGGAUGGACUCGCGGCUUAUCAGCUUGUUGGUGGGGUAGUGGCUUACCAAGGCUUUGACGGGUAGCCGGCCUGAGAGGGUGACCGGCCACAUGGGGACUGAGAGACGGCGCAGACGCCUACGGGAGGCAGCAGUGGGGAAUAUUGCACAAUGGGCGGAAGCCUGAUGCAGAAACGCCGCGUGCGUGAUGACGGCCUUCGGGUUGUAAACCGCUUUCGCCGGUAACGAAGCGUGAGUGACGGUAAUGGGUAAAGAAGCACCGGCUAACUACGUG